rnacentral:rRNA from 1 species
AUUGAACGCUGGCGGCAUGCCUUACACAUGCAAGUCGAACGGUAACAGGUUGAGCUGACGAGUGGCGAACGGGUGAGUAAUAUAUCGGAAAGUGCCCAGUAGUGGAGGAUAGAACGGCGAAAGCAGGCUUAAUACCGCCUACGGCAUAAAGGUGAAAGGGGGGGAGAUCAAGACCUCUCGCUCCUGGAGCGGCCGAUGUUAAAUGAGGUAGUUGGUGGGGUAAAGGCCUACCACGCCGACGAUCUGUAGUUGGUCUGAGAGGACGACCAGUCACACUGGGACUGAGACACGGCCCAGACUCCUACGGGAGGCAGCAGUGGGGAAUUUUGGACAAUGGGGGCAACCCUGAUCCAGCAAUGCCGCGUGCAGGAAGAAGGCCUUCGGGUUGUAAACUGCUUUUGUCAGGGAAGAAAUCCUGUGGGUUAAUACCUCGUGGGGAUGACGGUACCUGAAGAAUAAGCACCGGCUAACUACGUGCCAGCCGCCGCGGUAACAC